rnacentral:rRNA from 1 species
GUUCCUACGGGAGGCAGCAGUGGGGAAUAUUGGGCAAUGGGCGCAAGCCUGACCCAGCAACGCCGCGUGAAGGAAGAAGGCCCUCGGGUUGUAAACUUCUUUUGUCAGGGACGAAGCAAGUGACGGUACCUGACGAAUAAGCCACGGCUAACUACGUGCCAGCAGCCGCGGUAAUACGUAGGUGGCAAGCGUUAUCCGGAUUUACUGGGUGUAAAGGGCGUGUAGGCGGGGAAGCAAGUCAGAUGUGAAAUUCCAGGGCUCAA